rnacentral:rRNA from 1 species
AACAGGAUUAGAUACCCUGGUAGUCCACGCCCUAAACGAUGUCUACUAGUUGUCGGGUCUUAAUUGACUUGGUAACGCAGCUAACGCGUGAAGUAGACCGCCUGGGGAGUACGGUCGCAAGAUUAAAACUCAAAGGAAUUGACGGGGACCCGCACAAGCGGUGGAUGAUGUGGAUUAAUUCGAUGCAACGCGAAAAACCUUACCUACCCUUGACAUGGCUGGAAUCCUUGAGAGAUCGGGGAGUGCCCGAAAGGGAACCAGUACACAGGUGCUGCACGGCUGUCGUCAGCUCGUGUCGUGAGAUGUUGGGUUAAGUCCCGCAACGAGCGCAACCCUUGUCAUUAGUUGCUACGAAAGGGCACUCUAAUGAGACUGCCGGUGACAAACCGGAGGAAGGUGGGGAUGACGUCAAGUCCUCAUGGCCCUUAUGGGUAGGGCUUCACACGUCAUACAAUGGUACAUACAGAGCGCCGCCAACCCGCGAGGGGGAGCUAAUCGCAGAAAGUGUAUCGUAGUCCGGAAUGUAGUCUGCAACUCGACUGCAUGAAGUUGGAAUCGCUAGUAAUCGCGGAUCAGCGUGUCGCGGUGAAUACGUUCCCGGGUCUUGUACACACCGCCCGUCACACCAUGGGAGCGGGUUUUACCAGAAGUAGGUAGCUUAACCGCAAGGAGGGCGCUUACCACGGUAGGAUUCGUGACUGGGGUGAAGUCGUAACAAGGUAACC